AGAAACUUACGUUAAAUAGACCAGGAGCCUUCAAAGCUCCCAGUAGAGGUGAAACCCCUUUAGUUUCUG
rnacentral:tRNA from 1 species